UACGGAGGGUGCAAGCGUUAUCCGGAUUCACUGGGUUUAAAGGGUGCGUAGGUGGGCAGGUAAGUCAGUGGUGAAAUCUCCGGGCUUAACUCGGAAACUGCCUUUGAUACUAUCUUUCUUGAAUACCGUGGAGGUCAGCGGAAUAUGUCAUGUAGCGGUGAAAUGCUUAGAUAUGACAUAGAACACCAAUUGCGAAGGCAGCUGGCUACACGAAUAUUGACACUGAUGCACGAAAGCGUGGGGAGCAAACAGG
rnacentral:rRNA from 1 species